rnacentral:rRNA from 1 species
UACGGGGGGAGCAAGCGUUGUUCGGAUUUACUGGGCGUAAAGGGCGCGUAGGCGGCCCGCUAAGUCGAACGUGAAAUCCCCAGGCUCAACCUGGGAACUGCGUCCGAUACUGGCAGGCUUGAAUCCGGGAGAGGGAUGUGGAAUUCCAGGUGUAGCGGUGAAAUGCGUAGAUAUCUGGAGGAACACCGGUGGCGAAGGCAGCCUCCUGGGCCAGCACUGACGCUCAUGCACGAAAGCGUGGGGAGCAAACAGG